UAGCAAUACCUGCCGGCGACCGGCAAACGGGUGCGGUACACGUACGCAACCUUCCCAGAACAGGUGAAUAGCCCUCCGAAAGGAGGAUUAAUACACCGUAAGAUAUAGAGAUGGCAUCAUUUUUAUAUAAUAGGCAGCAAUGCCGGUUUUGGAUGGGCGUGCGGCUGAUUAGGUAGUUGGCGGGGUAACGGCCCACCAAGCCUCCGAUCAGUAACUGGUGUGAGAGCACGACCAGUCACACGGGCACUGAGACACGGGCCCGACUCCUACGGGAGGCAGCAGUAAGGAAUAUUGGUCAAUGGACGCAAGUCUGAACCAGCCAUGCCGCGUGCAGGAUGAAGGCCCUCUGGGUUGUAAACUGCUUUUAUCUGGGACGAAAAAAGGGGAUUCAUCCUCACUUGACGGUACCAGAGGAAUAAGCACCGGCUAACUCCGUGCCAGCAGCCGCGGUAAUACGGAGGGUGCAAGCGUUAUCCGGAUUUACUGGGUUUAAAGGGUGCGUAGGUGGGCAGGUAAGUCAGUGGUGAAAUCUUCAAGCUUAACUUGGAAACUGCCAUUGAUACUAUUUGUCUUGAAUAUCCUGGAGGUAAGCGGAAUAUGUCAUGUAGCGGUGAAAUGCUUAGAUAUGACAUAGAACACCCAUUGCGAAGGCAGCUUACUACGGGAUUAUUGACACUGAGGCACGAAAGCGUGGGGAUCAAACAGGAUUAGAUACCCUGGUAGUCCACGCCCUAAACGAUGGAUACUCGACAUCAGCGAUACACAGUUGGUGUCUGAGCGAAAGCAUUAAGUGUCCCACCUGGGAAGUACGACCGC
rnacentral:rRNA from 1 species